GAUUCAUGAAAUCACUGAGUCAUUUACUUGUUGAAGAACUUGAAGACUGAGUCACGGUGUCCAAGGGAGGAGAUGAUCUGCAGCAUCCUGGUGAUCUUCAUCCUGACCUCCUGUGUCUGUGCAGGGUCAUUUGUAGUGAAUGUGACACAGAGCUGGUAUCAUGCAGAGGAGAACCACAACAUCUCACUGGAAUGGAUGUUCCCCACCAGCACAAACCACUCCACCAACUCCCUCUAUGUCUCCUGUGAGAUGUUAGCUGAUCAGACACCCUAUGUCCUGUUUCAUCUACAUGAAGGUGUGGAGGUCCCAGAGGAUCAGCAUAAACGAUUUGCAGGACGAGUCCAGUGGGACAAAGACGUCCUCAGAGAAGGACGACUCAGACUUCACAUCUCCAGACUCCAGACUAAUGACUCUGGGCCGUACUGGUGUCAAGUGCUCACAAGUUAUGAGAAGAACUAUAAGGAAUGUCACCUCAAUGUCACUGCAGUGAAGGAUCGACCUGAACCUGAGACAACCAGUGACACCAGUCUGAGAGGAGAUCCUCGUGGAAGGAUCGGUCUCUACUCUGUACUGGGAAUACUUGGCCUGGGACUAGCAACGGGUCUACUGGUUGUUUUUCUCUUUUCUCUCUACAUUGCCAAAUAUAAAGGUGAUCAGCACAGAGAUGAUUCAUCGUCAUCCCGACACUUGGAGUCAUGGAUCCGUCCUCCACCCCAUAUGGACGCAAAAGAGACACAACAUUUGGUCAAAAACAAAAACCAACAUUCAUGGUAUCUUUAGUGUUCAUCAUGAAAAAAUACAUGAAUGCUUUAUCUGGUUUGAUUCAUUAGCGCCCUGGCUACAAUUAGCCGAAAUCCACAUCACAAUAGUCCAGACACAACUUCAGCCAGUGGAGUAGAAAAGGAUUCCAAGCCAAACCUUUGCAGUGGGUCGGAUGCAGUGAGAUGGAGCCACCAGACCUCCGCUAGGUUCCUGUUCUGAUCAGAGUGUCAUCUGACGCUUCAGCUGUUUUCUUCCUCUCGGCGUCUGGGGAAGCUGUCGAUGGUUUGCUCGUCACUUUAGUCGUAUUCAGCGAGAUCAGGUGGUUCAAACGAGUGGUCGAGUGACGCGGAUCGACCAAUCAGCGCUCGACCUGUAAAGAACCAUCUGGAUCGUCUGACGUGAGGCCUUCACCAAAAGCCUUCUCUAGAGUACUUUAUCCUUGUUGUAGCAGCUUGAAACUUUACAUGUGUACUGUCCACGGUACGUCCAACAAAGGGAGGGGGGGGGGGUGUUUCAGAGGGAGAAGCCUGGUUCAAAUUAACAGGAUUGUUUGAGUGCGGAUCAGCAGUUGAGGAAGCGAGAGCCCGACUUCCAUCGGGUUCAUCUGAGCUGGCUGAUGGACCAUCUGAUGGACUUGGUAGAACCCAAAUGAGGAAACAUCAUCCACACCACGUACAUAGUUAUUCACCUUUAAAUGUUUGCACAAGAAGAGUCUGAUGUUCUGACAUCAAGGUCUGACUGCUGCUAAACACACAAAGUAUUGUUGUCCUCAGUUUACAUUUUGUUUAAAUGUUUAUUCUUUGCACUUAUAUAUUAUAUAAACACUCAUAUAUAAGCUGGACUUGAGGCACUUUUUUUCUACUCUAUUUUUGCUACGUUGGUAUCGAUAUUGAAGCCACUGUGAACUUUGAAUGUAUGUUAAAGAUGACAUGCACUGUGUACAAGUCAAGUGGACUGAAAAUAAAAGUUAUUGGUCACUUUUAUUUUUUAUCCUGUGUACAAACGUGUGUUUUGUAUUUAGUGUACAGCUGAGUUUGACUUGUCUUUGAGUUCUAUGAAAAGUGCUCUAAAAACACAUUUUAUUAUUUUUGCAUACAGUGUACGUGCAAUAAAAGAUGAACACUAUGGACAUUAAUAACAAUUAAAACGAGCAUAAUGUUUUUAACCAAAUGAGAAUUGUGUUUAACGAUGGUUUUCUCUUGGAAAUAAAAUUGUUGUAAUUCUG